rnacentral:rRNA from 1 species
GUGGGGAAUAUUGGACAAUGGGCGAAAGCCUGAUCCAGCCAUGCCGCGUGUGUGAAGAAGGUCUUCGGAUUGUAAAGCACUUUAAGUUGGGAGGAAGGGCAGUAAGUUAAUACCUUGCUGUUUUGACGUUACCGACAGAAUAAGCACCGGCUAACUUCGUGCCAGCAGCCGCGGUAAUACGAAGGGUGCAAGCGUUAAUCGGAAUUACUGGGCGUAAAGCGCGCGUAGGUGGUUUUGUAAGUUGGAGGUGAAAUCCCCGGGCUCAACCUGGGAACUGCCUCCAAAAAUGCAUGACUAGAGUACGGUAGAGGGUAGUGGAAUUUCCUGUGUAGCGGUGAAAUGCGUAGAUAAAGGAAGGAACACCAGUGGCGAAGGCGACUACCUGGACUGAUACUGACACUGAGGUGCGAAAGCGUGGGGAGCAAACAGGAUUAGAUACCCGGGUAGUCC